UUCCGGUUGAUCCUGCCGGAGGUUACUGCUAUCGAGGUUCGACUAAGCCAUGCGAGUCGAAUGUAGCAAUACAUGGCGAACUGCUCAGUAACACGUGGACAACCUGCCCUUAGGACGGGGAUAAACCCGGGAAACUGGGUAUAAUACCCGAUAGGUCUCGAUUGCUGGAAUGCAUCGAGAUUUAAAGCUCCGGCGCCUAAGGAUGGGUCUGCGGCCUAUCAGGUAGUAGUGGGUGUAGCGUACCUACUAGCCUACGACGGGUACGGUUGUGAGAGCAAGAGCCCGGAGAUGGAUUCUGAGACACGAAUCCAGGCCCUACGGGGUGCAGCAGGCGCGAAAACUUUACAAUGCUGGCAACAGCGAUAAGGGAACCUCGAGUGCCAGGUUACAAAUCUGGCUGUCGAGAUGCCUAAAAAGCAUUUCAUAGCAAGGGCCGGGCAAGACCGGUGCCAGCCGCCGCGGUAACACCGGCGGCUCGAGUGGUAACCGUUAUUAUUGGGUCUAAAGGGUCUGUAGCCGGCCGGAUAAGUCUCUUGAGAAAUCUGGCAGCUUAACUGUCAGGCUUUCAGGAGAUACUGUCUGGCUCGAGGCCGGGAGAGGUGAGAGGUACUUCAGGGGUAGGGGUGAAAUCUUGUAAUCCUUGAAGGACCACCAGUGGCGAAGGCGUCUCACCAGAACGGACCUGACGGCAAGGGACGAAAGCUAGGGGCACGAACCGGAUUAGAUACCCGGGUAGUCCUAGCCGUAAACGAUACUCGCUAGGUGUCGGCCACGGGUGCGACCGUUGUCGGUGCCGUAGGGAAGCCGUGAAGCGAGCCACCUGGGAAGUACGGGCCGCAAGGCUGAAACUUAAAGGAAUCGGCG
rnacentral:rRNA from 1 species